ACGAACGCUGGCGGCGUGCCUAAUACAUGCAAGUCGAACGGUCUUUUCUAUGGAAGCUUGCUUCCACUGAGAAGAUAGUGGCGAACGGGUGAGUAACACGUGGGUAACCUGCCCAUAAGAGGGGGAUAACAUCCGGAAACGGGUGCUAAUACCGCAUAGUUUUCUUGAUCGCAUGAUCGGGAAAGGAAAGACGGCCUUUGUGCUGUCGCUUAUGGAUGGACCCGCGGCGUAUUAGUUAGUUGGUGAGGUAACGGCUCACCAAGACGAUGAUACGUAGCCGACCUGAGAGGGUGAUCGGCCACAUUGGGACUGAGACACGGCCCAAACUCCUACGGGAGGCAGCAGUAGGGAAUCUUCCGCAAUGGACGAAAGUCUGACGGAGCAACGCCGCGUGAGUGAAGAAGGUUUUCGGAAUCGUAAAACUCUGUUGUCAGAGAAGCACAAGUUGGAGAGUAGCUGCUCCAGCCUUGACGGUAUCUGACCAGAAAGCCACGGCUAACUACGUGCCAGCCGCUGC
rnacentral:rRNA from 1 species